CUGAUACAUGGACCUGGAGAAGACAUAUUAGAUCCAAUACUUGGUCUGAAACGUUUACAGUUAGCACAGAAUUCUCCGUCCACGCCAAACUCCAUCGUAAAAGUGAAAUUCUUCAGAGCUGCUUGAUCUGUCACCUAUUACGUAAAGAGACAGACUGUGAAAUAUUAUCACUUAACAAUAUCUGAAACAUUUAUUGGUAGCAGCUAUGUGCGUGUAAAUGUUCUUGUUCCUAUUUAUACUUAAAUUAAAGUCAGCAUUCCUU